rnacentral:rRNA from 1 species
UAAGGAAUAUUGGUCAAUGGACGCAAGUCUGAACCAGCCAUGCCGCGUGGAGGAUGAAGGUCCUCUGGAUUGUAAACUUCUUUUAUCUGGGACGAAACACUUCUUUUCUAAGAGGCCUGACGGUACCAGAUGAAUAAGCACCGGCUAACUCCGUGCCAGCAGCCGCGGUAAUACGGAGGGUGCAAGCGUUAUCCGGAUUCACUGGGUUUAAAGGGUGCGUAGGUGGGUAUAUAAGUCAGUGGUGAAAUCCCCGAGCUUAACUUGGGAACUGCCAUUGAUACUAUAUAUCUUGAAUACCGUAGAGGUAAGCGGAAUAUGUCAUGUAGCGGUGAAAUGCUUAGAUAUGACAUGGAACACCAAUUGCGAAGGCAGCUUACUAUGCGGUGAUUGACACUGAGGCACGAAAGCGUGGGUAGCAAACA